rnacentral:rRNA from 1 species
CUGCAACUCGACUCCAUGAAGUCGGAAUCGCUAGUAAUCGUGAAUCAGAAUGUCACGGUGAAUACGUUCCCGGGCCUUGUACACACCGCCCGUCACACCAUGGGAGUGGGUUGCAAAAGAAGUAGGUAGCUUAACCUCCGGGAGGGCGCUUACCACUUUGUGAUUCAUGACUGGGGUGAAGUCGUAACAAGGUAACCGUAGGGGAACCUGCGGUUGGAUCACCUCCUUA